rnacentral:rRNA from 1 species
UACGUAGGUGGCAAGCGUUGUCCGGAUUUACUGGGCGUAAAGAGCGCGCAGGCGGUCGUUCAAGUCGCGUGUGAAAGCCCCGGCUCAACUGGGGAGGGUCACGCGAUACUGAUCGACUGGAAGGCAGGAGAGGGUAGUGGAAUUCCCGGUGUAGUGGUGAAAUGCGGUAGAUAUCUGGAGGAACACCGGUGGCGAAGGCGGCAUCCUGGACCAACACUGACGCUGAGGAGCGAAAGCCAGGGGAGCAAACGGG